rnacentral:lncRNA from 13 species
AUGCCAAGAGCCACGUCUGGAGGAAACCUGGCACCAUCCCGUUUAUCAGCGGCAGGGACUGGGACACUAUUCAGGAUGGAGGGAAAGAUGAACGGAGCAAAGUGCAGAGAGAUCCUUGAUGAAAACCUGCUUNNNNNNNNNNCUAAUGGUUAUGGUACUGGUUAUGACUAUAAUGGUUAUGGUACUGGUUAUGUCUCUAAUGGUUAUGACUAUAAUAGUUAUGGUACUGGUUAUGACUAUAAUGGUUAUGGUACUGGUUAUGUCUCUAAUGUUUAUGGUACUGGUUAUGACUAUAAUGGUUAUGGUACUGGUUAUGACUAUAAUGUUUAUGGUACUGGUUAUGACUAUAAUGGUUAUGGUACUGGUUAUGGUACUGGUUAUGACUAUAAUGGUUAUGGUACUGGUUAUGUCUCUAAUGGUUAUGACUAUAAUAGUUAUGGUACUGGUUAUGACUAUAAUGGUUAUGGUACUGGUUAUGUCUCUAAUGUUUAUGGUACUGGUUAUGACUAUAAUGGUUAUGGUACUGGUUAUGACUAUAAUGUUUAUGGUACUGGUUAUGACUAUAAUGGUUAUGGUACUGGUUAUGUCUCUAAUGGUUAUGGUACUGGUUACAGUGCAUUCGAAAAGUUAACAGAGCCCUUGACUUUUUCCACAUUUUGUUACAUUACAGCCUUAUUCUAAAAUGUAUUAAAUUAUUUUUUUUAUNNNNNNNNNNCCCUGGAAGGGGUGCGUCACCUGAGUGGGUUGAUUCACUGAUGUGGUCGUCCUGUCUGGGUUGGCGCCCCCCCUUGGGUUGUGCCAUGGCGGAGAUCUUUGUGGGCUAUACUCAGCCUUGUCUCAGGAUGGUAAGUUGGUGGUUGAAGAUAUCCCUCUAGUGGUGUGGGGGCUGUGCUUUGGCAAAGUGGGUGGGGUUAUAUCCUUCCUGUUUGGCCCUGUCCGGGGGUGUCCUCGGAUGGGGCCACAGUGUCUCCUGACCCCUCCUGUCUCAGCCUCCAGUAUUUAUGCUGCAGUAGUUUAUGUGUCGGGGGCUAGGGUCAGUUUGUUAUAUCUGGAGUACUUCUCCUGUCCUAUUCGGUGUCCUGUGUGAAUCUAAGUGUGCAUUCUCUAAUUCUCUCCUUCUCUCUUUCUUUCUCUCUCUCGGAGUACCUGAGCCCUAGGACCAUGCCCCAGGACUACCUGACAUGAUGACUCCUUGCUGUCCCCAGUCCACCUGGCCGUGCUGCUGCUCCAGUUUCAACUGUUCUGCCUUAUUAUUAUUCGACCAUGCUGGUCAUUUAUGAACAUUUGAACAUCUUGGCCAUGUUCUGUUAUAAUCUCCACCCGGCACAGCCAGAAGAGGACUGGCCACCCCACAUAGCCUGGUUCCUCUCUAGGUUUCUUCCUAGGUUUUGGCCUUUCUAGGGAGUUUUUCCUAGCCACCGUGCUUCUACACCUGCAUUGCUUGCUGUUUGGGGUUUUAGGCUGGGUUUCUGUACAGCACUUUGAGAUAUCGGCUGAUGUACGAAGGGCUAUAUAAAUACAUUUUAUUUUAUUUGAUUUAUCCCAGGUGCCUGUGUGUGCGCUACCUGUGGUUGAGGAUGCGGUGGAUCAUGAGCCACUCCAUCUUGACUCCGUAACGGUAGAACUCCUCCUCCAUGUGAACAUACAGGGGGUCCUUGUUCUUCCUCUUAGUGCUCUUGUCAUCGUCCCCCUCCCCUCCGAAGUCCACCAGCGGGGGCUCGUCCAUGUCUGUCUUCCUCUGGUAGUUACGGAACAUCACCUGGCAGUUCAGCUCCAACUGGGGGGAGGGAGGGAGGGAAAAGAGUGAAGAGGGUAAAAAGAUGAGUCUACUCUCUAUUUAGUACAUAAGGAUGAAGACAUUGAGCCUAGGGCUGUUGCAGUGACCGUAUUACCGCCACACCAGCAGUCAUGACGGCAGUAAAAUUCCACGAGACCGUUGAGUUACAGUACUCCUUUUAUGCACUCUGGACAUGCUUUGGUAGUACCCAAGUUACUAACUACCAUCAGCUCCUAAUGGCUUGGUACUCAGGGCUCUAUUGUCCCUCCAUCAGGUCCUAAUGGCCUAGUACUCAGGGCUCCAUUGUCCCUCCAUCAGGUCACUAAUGGUCUGGUACUCGGGGCUCUAUUGUCCCUCCAUCAGGUGCUAAUGGCCUGGUACUCAGGGAUUUAUUGUCCCUCCAUGAGGUCCUAAUGGUCUGGUACUCAGGGCUCUAUUGUCCCUCCAUCAGGUCCUAAUGGUCUGGUACUAAGGGCUCUAUU